AGUAAUCUCUACACCCAACGUGGGGCUUGAACUCACGACCCUGAGAUCAAGACUCACAUGCUCUUUUGACUGAGGCAGCGGGGCGCCCCAAGACAGACAUCUGAGACCCAGGCUAAUGGAGCAUCUACUACCCGGAAAAAUGGCAGUCACCCUGUUAAAGGGAAGGAAGAGCUUCAGAGGGAAGUGACGCAUGUCAUUUCUGCUCACAUUUCACUGGCCGAAGCAAAGUGCAUGGUCACCCCUAAAAUCAGGUUCAAACAUCUCAUAUCUGAGAUCUUCUUAGCCAGAUGGUUCUGGCUCAGCAGCAUCCACAAGAUUGCAGUGAAGAUAGUGGCUGGAGCUGCAGUCCCCUGAAGGCUUGGCUAAGCCUGGAUGAUCCUCUUACAAGAUGGCUUACUCACAUGGCUAUUACCUGGAUGCCUCAGUCCCUUGUUACAGGGCCUCUCUAUAGUGCUGCAGAGUGUCUUAAUGGCAUGGAAGUUAGAGUCUCUCGCAGCGAGCAAUCCAAGAGAAAGAAUAAGCAAGGGGCUGCAGUGCCUCUCGUGACCUGGUCUUAGAAGUCUUACUGUCGGGCGCCUGGGUGGCUCAGUCGGUUAGGCGACUGCCUUCGGCUCAGGUCAUGAUCCCGG